UAGCUCAGCUUGGUUAAAGCGCGGGUCUUAUACGCCCGAGAUCGGGGGUUCGAAUCCCCCA
rnacentral:tRNA from 1 species